CUUAGCCAUUUCUCAUCAUUCAUUUCUCUCAGUACUCUCCAAACUCCUCUUCCCUUGCCCCGCCAAGGAAAAAAUGGCAGGAUCCAUGAAAUUGAUAUCCACUUUAUGCCUUCUUCUAAUGCUCGUCUUUGCUACUGAGAUGGUAGCAGAGGCAAAGGAAUGUGAGCAUCGUAGCCCGCACUAUUAUGGAGCAUGCUUUGCUAACAAUAAUAACAUGAACAACAACUGCAAUUCUAUAUGUCAAUGUGAUGGUUUUGACCGUGGUUUUUGCCGCCUCACUAAUUGUUUUUGCCGUAAAAAGUGUUGAUUUUGUUAUCUUAUAUUACUAUAAAUAAUGUCAAGAAUUUGAGCCACACAUAAAUAAUGAUGUUGGCUUCUCUCUGUAUCUGUUAUUUCCUUUUUUGUUUUGUUUUUUCCUUUCUUGCUUAUGUGUUGGAAUAAUAAGUUCCUCCCUGAGGGAACAAGCCUGUUGGUUCCUCGAAUGGUUUAUUUGUAUCUUGCAAGUUGCAACCUAUGUAAGCUUCUAAUAAAUAAUAUUUUCUUCA